rnacentral:lncRNA from 1 species
GUGGGUGCUGCUUUGGUGACCAGUGAGCUGAGAUAAGGGGGGACUUUACCUAGCAGGGUCUUGUAGAUGACCUGGAGCCAGUGGGUUUGGCGACGAGUAUGAAGCGAGGGCUAGCCAACGAGAGCAUACAGGUUGCCGUGGUGGGUAGUAUAUGGUGCUUUGGUGACAAAACGGAUGACACUGUGAUAGACUGCAUCCAGUUUGGUGAGUAGGGUAUUGGAGUCUAUUUUGUAAAUGACAUCGCCGAAGUCGAGGAUCGGUAGGAUGGUCAGUUUUACGAGGGUAUGUUUGGCAGCAUGAGUGAAGGAUGCUUUGUUGCGAAAUAGGAAGCCAAUUCUAGAUUUAACUUUGGAUUCGAGAUGUUUGAUGUGAGUCUGGAAGGAGAGCUUACAGUCUAACCAGACACCUAGGUAUUUGUAGUUGUCCACAUAUUCUAAGUCAGAACCGUCCAGAGUAGUGAUGCUGGAUGGGCGGGCAGGUGCGGGCAGCGAUCGGUUGAAGAGCAUGCAUUUAGUUUUACUUGUAUUUAAGAGCAGUUGGAGGCCAUGGAAGGAGAGUUGUAUGGCAUUGAAGCUUAUCUGGAGGGUUGUUAACAUAGUGUCCAAAGAAGGGACAGAAAUAUACAGAAUGGUGUCAUCUGCGUAGAGGUGGAUCAGAGACUCACCAGCAGCAAGAGCGACAUCAUUGAUGUAUACAGAGAAAAGAGUUGGCCCAAGAAUUGAACCCUGUGGCACCCCCAUAGAGACUACCAGAGGCCCGGACAACAGGCCAUCCGAUUUGACCAAUUGAACUCUAUCAGAGAAGUAGUUGGUGAACCAGGCGAGGCAAUCAUUUGAGAAACACUCACCACCAGGGGCUGAGUGUGUGGGCAUGUCUGAGGCUCGAGGUUAGUGAUCAUUUAGAAAUAAAACUACAGCUACAACCUGGUUUGUUGUUUGGGACAAGAUUAGGUGGAUUGGACGUUUUAAGACGUGACCAGCAGUUGGGUGCCAUUUGAGACGCAGAUCCUGUUUCUGGAGGCCCAACGGGUAGCCAGGCUCAGAUCCUGUUUUAGGAGGCCCAACGGGUAGCCGGGCUCAGAUCCUGUUUCUGGAGGCCCAACUGGUAGCCAGGCUCAGAUCCUGAUUUUGGAGGCCCAACUGGUCGCCAGGCUCAGAUAUUUCACAGCUCUCUGUCUGUGAUUAACAUCAUGUUGACGCAAGUGCUGUGUAAAUAAAAACAUAAAACAUAUGUAUAAGACCUUUAGCGUUUCUCAUGUAGUUGUCCUAGGGAGUAUUGUCGGGAAAGAAUGAUGACCCAUUUCAGAAGCAGAUGUUUGAGGUCACCAUCAGACUCAGUCAACUCCUUUUCCCCCAUUGGUAGAGCUCCUGCAAUUGGAUGGUUGACCGAUAAAACGCUUGACUGUUUUUUCUUAAAAAUCCACAUACAGUGUACAUGGCCAUGUUUCCUGACUGUUGAAAGCCUACAGCACUGUCAGUCACAGGGGAUAAAACAGCUGCAUAGAUUAAAACAGAAUCCAAAUCUAACAAUGACUCAAUAAACCGCUCUUAGAGCCCCUCGAUCCAUUUUAGAUUCUGAGAAACGGUCCUUGAUCACUCUCAUCAGUGAGUGGUAUUACACCGCUGAGGCAGUCACACACAGCUUGUCUGGUUUCUCUCGUCAUUUCCUGAUUCAUCCAACCACUCCAUCCCUCCACCCCCAUCUUCAGCUGUUUAAACAGCAGAAAUUAUGUCUGUAAUUGUUUCAGUGUGUAGCCUGUUAUUUUAAUGUGCCAAGCUGGAUGACAAAAAAAUGAAUCAAUCAAUGAUUGCAGUAAACGGCAAGUAUUUUCUGACUACUUACAUUCUUAAAGUUUUACCACCUUUAGACUUACUUUUUGGAAUAGUUUGACUAAUUAUCAGGUGUUUCCAAUUUCUCCCCAGUGAUAUGAAAUGGAUAUCACCACAGUGAAGGAGACUGAGAGACAGGGCAUGGGUUGUCUUUUCACUGCGAGUGACCUGCAACUUUCUCGACAGAUUUGACAGAAAGCCUAGGCCUGGAUAAAUAUGUCUCCUCUAUGCUUGUGGGCCUUCUCUCUCUGUUUCUUAAUGCUCUACUACUUAUUCAAAUCAAAUCAAAUCAAAUUGUAUUUGUCACAUGCACCGAAUACAACAGGUGUAGACCUUACCGUGAAAUGCUUACUUCUUAACAUCAUUGUGAAAAGACCCCAUGCUGAGAUGCAUUUAUUUAUAGUGUGGAUGGCUGAGGUAACAGGUACCAGUAUUAGGACAGGGGACAAGGAGAACACAGUUAUGGUGUCCAUAUUAGGACAGUCACAGCAGGACUUGUCAGUCUUAUUGGCUGUAACCUCACACAAGGGUAAUUUAAAAACCAAAUGACAUGAUGAGGGGUUUUUGUUUGUCUUGUUAGUGAUUUUGGGCGACGACUUCACUUAUAUUUCUUGAAAAAAAAUGUUCUUCUUUUAACCGUUCAACUGUUGAAUAGUGAAAAAAUACCAAUCAUGGAAUUGUAGUUUUGAAUGUUCGUUACAAAACAUUUUACGGACAGUAAUGUUUUUUGGCUGAUUUAUAGUGUUCCUUUCCUCCAUCUGACAGAGCAUAGUUAGGCUACUGGGUGAUUCCUCACCAUAUGACAGAGCAUCAUUAGGCUACUGGGUGAUUCCUCACCAUCUGACAGAGCAUCAUUAGGGUUGUUCCUUACAAAACUAGAGCAAAACAGGACCAGGAUUUUGGGAUUUUAAUUAAAUUAAAUCUAUAGAAGGGUCCUUUGGAGGAACUAUUGUUGACGUAUAUUUGACAUUUGUAUGUUAAAGCAUAAUUGAGACAUCAAUAAUUUCCUUUGGAAUAUUUGUGACCUUUUCCUUUAAUACUCCAUAAUGUUUCAUCUGUAGGUUCUAUAAAGUAAAAGUUGGUGUCAUGUGAAGCUUUACAGUGUGUACUGUAAAAUGCGUAGUAUUUUGAUUUCAAUAACAAUUUUCUUACUAAGGAUCUGACCCUUUUUUUCAAAUUUUGCCUGAAAUGACAUACACAAAUCUACUGCCUGUAGUUCAAGACCUGAAGCAAGGAUAUGCAUAUUCUUGAUACCAUUUAAAAGCAAACACUUUGAAGUUUCUGGAAAUGUGAAAUUAAUGUAGGACAAUACAACACAUUAGAUCUUGAUAAAGAUAAUAUUGUUCCAGCCCAGGUGCAAUUUAGAUUUUGACCGCUAUAUGGCAGCAGUGUAUGUGUAAAAUGUUAGACUGAUCCAAUGAACCAUUGCACAUCUGUUCAAAAUGUUGUAUCAAGACUGCCCACAUUUGCCUAAUUGGUUUAUUAAUACAUACAGCCUGACGGGAUACUCUCAAUUGUGAAUCUGUAAAAGUUUGUGAGGAUUUUAAGGGCCAAGACAAAUUUCUUCAGCCUCCUGAGGUUGAAGAGGCACUGUUGCGCCUUCUUCACCACAGUGUCUGAAUGGGUGGACCAUUUCAGAUCGUCAGUGAUGUGUACGCCGAGGAACUUGAAGCUUUACACCUUCUCCACUGCGGUCCCGUCGAUGUGGAUAGGGGCAUGCUCCUUCUGCUGUUUCCUGAAGUCCACGAUCAGCUCCUUUGUUUUGUUGACGUUGAGUGAGAGGUUAUUUUCCUGGCACCACUCUCCCAGGGCCCUCACAUCCUCCCUGUAGGCUACCUCGUCAUUGUUGUAAUCAGGGCUACUACUGUUGUGUCGUCUGCAAACUUGAUGAUUGAGUUGGAGGCGUGCGUGGCCACGCAGUCAUGGUUGAACAGGGAGUACAGGACGGGGCUGAGCAUGCACCCUUGUGGGGCCCCUGUGUUGAGGAUCAGCGAAGUGGAGGUGUUGUUUCAUACCUUCACCACCUGGGGGUGGCCCAUCAUGUAGUACAGGACCCAGUUGCACAGGGCGGUGUUCAGACCCUGGGCCCCGAGCUUAAUGAUGAGCCUGAAGGGUACUAUGGUGUUGAAUUCUGAGCUAUAGUCAAUGAAUAGCAUUUUUACAUAGGUAUCCCUCUUGUCCAGAUGGGAUAGGGCAGUGUGUAGUGCGAUGGCGACUGCAUCGUCUGUGGAUCUAUUGGAUAACACACAAAAAGCAAAACACAGCUUCGGAGCUAGAAGCAGAGCUGCCAUAUCUGUCCGCACCAUCUUACUACGUCACAUCUGUGCCGAUAUGUACACCAUGUCAUUGAUCUCUUUCUCACUCUGCUGUGGGUGCAUCAUAUGUGUCUUGUUAGCUCUCACUCAUAUGGCGAGGGGCUGAAGCUCAUUGGUUUUACUUGAAUUGCUAGGGGGCUGGCCCAUGUGGGGGAAAAUGUAGGGAAAAUGCGCCAGCACAGCUUCCAGAAAAACAGUGGCUUUCAAACUAGGGAUUUCGUGGCUGUUUGAGGAAAGACAUUAAUUCUGUUCAUAAAUUAUGCAGCCCAAAGCGGGAUGUUAAAAAAAGACUUAAUAGUUGCCAAAGUUAAUUUACGAAUAUUGAAAAUUGAAUGCAAUGUAACCAAUCGCAGCCCUGCUUUUAGUUCUAGCAUUGCACAUCCUGAAAAUCACCAGGGCGACCAUUUUGAAUCCAUUUUCACAUUCACUCUGUUAGUAAUGCUUAUACAUUGGAUCGUAACUCUACAAGUAGCAGAGAUCCCACUCUGAAACUUUGAUAUACCCGUAGAGUAUAUUAUGU